GAUGAAGAACGUAGCGAAAUGCGAUAAGUAAUGUGAAUUGCAGAAUUCAGUGAAUCAUCGAAUCUUUGAACGCUCAUUGCGCCCGCUAGUAUUCUGGCGGGCAUGCCUGUCCGAGCGUCAUUUCAACCCUCAAGCCCCCGGGCUUGGUGUUGGGGAUCGGCGAGCCUCCGCGCCCGCCGUCCCCUAAAUCUAGUGGCGGUCUCGCUGUAGCUUCCUCUGCGUAGUAGCACACCUCGCACUGGGAAACAGCGCGGCCACGCCGUUAAACCCCCAACUUCUGAACGUUUGACCUCGGAUCAGGUAGGAAUACCCGCUGAACUUAAGCAUAUCAAUAAGCGGAGGA
rnacentral:misc_RNA from 1 species